rnacentral:lncRNA from 1 species
UCGAUAUUAGGGUUUUAUAAGAAACAAGUGAGAGAAGUAAGAGAAACCUGGCUGUAAAACUUUAGGAUUAAUGGUGUUUAUAGCACCAUCAAACCGAAACCCAUCAGAGAAAGGCCAGAAACAACCCAUGCAAAGCUUCAGUGAUUGUCUUGUAUGGUGGAGACUCAUUGGGUCUCAAGGACGGUGGCAGGAGAGAUGGUGAAGGACAUCGGAGAAGAGGAACCAGAAGGUUCUAGAGAGAAGGAUGAGAGGAAGAGAUAUAUGGAGAGAGAGAGAGAGAGAGAGAGAG